CACAGACUGAGAGACCAAGGCUAGGUGAC
rnacentral:piRNA from 1 species